UUAAGUUAUUAAGGGCGCACGGUGGAUGCCUUGGCACUAGAAGCCGAUGAAGGACGUUACUAACGACGAUAUGCUUUGGGGAGCUGUAAGUAAGCUUUGAUCCAGAGAUUUCCGAAUGGGGAAACCCAGCAUGAGUUAUGUCAUGUUAUCGAUAUGUGAAUACAUAGCAUAUCAGAAGGCACACCCGGAGAACUGAAACAUCUUAGUACCCGGAGGAAGAGAAAGAAAAUUCGAUUCCCUUAGUAGCGGCGAGCGAAACGGGAAGAGCCCAAACCAACAAGCUUGCUUGUUGGGGUUGUAGGACACUCUAUACGGAGUUACAAAGGACGACAUUAGACGAAUCAUCUGGAAAGAUGAAUCAAAGAAGGUAAUAAUCCUGUAGUCGAAAAUGUUGUCUCUCUUGAGUGGAUCCUGAGUACGACGGAGCACGUGAAAUUCCGUCGGAAUCUGGGAGGACCAUCUCCUAAGGCUAAAUACUCUCUAGUGACCGAUAGUGAACCAGUACCGUGAGGGAAAGGUGAAAAGCACCCCGGAAGGGGAGUGAAAUAGAACCUGAAACCGUGUGCUUACAAGUAGUCAGAGCCCGUUAAUGGGUGAUGGCGUGCCUUUUGUAGAAUGAACCGGCGAGUUACGAUUUGAUGCAAGGUUAAGCAGUAAAUGUGGAGCCGUAGCGAAAGCGAGUCUGAAUAGGGCGUUUAGUAUUUGGUCGUAGACCCGAAACCAGGUGAUCUACCCUUGGUCAGGUUGAAGUUCAGGUAACACUGAAUGGAGGACCGAACCGACUUACGUUGAAAAGUGAGCGGAUGAACUGAGGGUAGCGGAGAAAUUCCAAUCGAACCUGGAGAUAGCUGGUUCUCUCCGAAAUAGCUUUAGGGCUAGCCUCAAGUGAUGAUUAUUGGAGGUAGAGCACUGUUUGGACGAGGGGCCCCUCUCGGGUUACCGAAUUCAGACAAACUCCGAAUGCCAAUUAAUUUAACUUGGGAGUCAGAACAUGGGUGAUAAGGUCCGUGUUCGAAAGGGAAACAGCCCAGACCACCAGCUAAGGUCCCAAAAUAUAUGUUAAGUGGAAAAGGAUGUGGCGUUGCCCAGACAACUAGGAUGUUGGCUUAGAAGCAGCCAUCAUUUAAAGAGUGCGUAAUAGCUCACUAGUCGAGUGACACUGCGCCGAAAAUGUACCGGGGCUAAACAUAUUACCGAAGCUGUGGAUUGUCCUUUGGACAAUGGUAGGAGAGCGUUCUAAGGGCGUUGAAGCAUGAUCGUAAGGACAUGUGGAGCGCUUAGAAGUGAGAAUGCCGGUGUGAGUAGCGAAAGACGGGUGAGAAUCCCGUCCACCGAUUGACUAAGGUUUCCAGAGGAAGGCUCGUCCGCUCUGGGUUAGUCGGGUCCUAAGCUGAGGCCGACAGGCGUAGGCGAUGGAUAACAGGUUGAUAUUCCUGUACCACCUAUAAUCGUUUUAAUCGAUGGGGGGACGCAGUAGGAUAGGCGAAGCGUGCGAUUGGAUUGCACGUCUAAGCAGUAAGGCUGAGUAUUAGGCAAAUCCGGUACUCAUUAAGGCUGAGCUGUGAUGGGGAGAAGACAUUGUGUCUUCGAGUCGUUGAUUUCACACUGCCGAGAAAAGCCUCUAGAUAGAAAAUAGGUGCCCGUACCGCAAACCGACACAGGUAGUCAAGAUGAGAAUUCUAAGGUGAGCGAGCGAACUCUCGUUAAGGAACUCGGCAAAAUGACCCCGUAACUUCGGGAGAAGGGGUGCUCUUUAGGGUUAACGCCCAGAAGAGCCGCAGUGAAUAGGCCCAAGCGACUGUUUAUCAAAAACACAGGUCUCUGCUAAACCGUAAGGUGAUGUAUAGGGGCUGACGCCUGCCCGGUGCUGGAAGGUUAAGAGGAGUGGUUAGCUUCUGCGAAGCUACGAAUCGAAGCCCCAGUAAACGGCGGCCGUAACUAUAACGGUCCUAAGGUAGCGAAAUUCCUUGUCGGGUAAGUUCCGACCCGCACGAAAGGCGUAACGAUUUGGGCACUGUCUCAACGAGAGACUCGGUGAAAUCAUAGUACCUGUGAAGAUGCAGGUUACCCGCGACAGGACGGAAAGACCCCGUGGAGCUUUACUGUAGCCUGAUAUUGAAAUUCGGCACAGCUUGUACAGGAUAGGUAGGAGCCUUUGAAACGUGAGCGCUAGCUUACGUGGAGGCGCUGGUGGGAUACUACCCUAGCUGUGUUGGCUUUCUAACCCGCACCACUUAUCGUGGUGGGAGACAGUGUCAGGCGGGCAGUUUGACUGGGGCGGGCGCC
rnacentral:rRNA from 1 species